CCCUUCACUCUGGGAUAACCUCGGGAAAUCGGGGCUAAUACCGGAUAUGAGCUCCUGUCGCAUGGCGGGUGUUGGAAAGUUUUUCGGUGAAGGAUGGGCUCGCGGCCUAUCAGUUUGUUGGUGAGGUAGUGGCUCACCAAGGCGAUGACGGGUAGCCGGCCUGAGAGGGCGACCGGCCACACUGGGACUGAGACACGGCCCAGACUCCUACGGGAGGCAGCAGUGGGGAAUAUUGCACAAUGGGCGAAAGCCUGAUGCAGCGACGCCGCGUGAGGGAUGACGGCCUUCGGGUUGUAAACCUCUUUCAGCAGGGAAGAAGCGAAAGUGACGGUACCUGCAGAAGAAGCGCCGGCUAACUACGUGCCAGCAGCCGCGGUAAUACGUAGGGCGCAAGCGUUGUCCGGAAUUAUUGGGCGUAAAGAGCUUGUAGGUGGCUUGUCGCGUCUGCCGUGAAAACCCGAGGCUCAACCUCGGGCGUGCGGUGGGUACGGGCAGGCUAGAGUGUGGUAGGGGAGACUGGAACUC
rnacentral:rRNA from 1 species